rnacentral:lncRNA from 1 species
GUCGCGUCAUGUGAAAAUGGUGUCAAUAGAAAACAUUUUAUACGUCGUGCCUUUGCAAUUUUUAGAUAACUUGUUCACAUGGAAAGUUACGAUCAAAAGUUUUGCUACUAGUUCUCACUUGUCCAAAUUUUAUUUUUAUUAUUUGAAGGCCUCAACCAUCUAAAGUUACACUGCACCUUACUAAUUAAUUAAGCCAGAGACUGCAUUCUUGGAAGGUGCAAACUUUCGUGAAAUGUUAGUGCGAUCUAUUUCUGGUUCCUUCCUAGUAAGUUAUAAGUGGAGCAAUUUGAAGAUAAGGACCGUCGGAUAUUGAUCAAGUGGCUUAAAAAUGUGUGGACAAGAUUUUAGAAAAUCGCAAGAAACAUCCGAAUGAACUAAUAAUUUAAAAAAAAAACUUCAUUAAGGCACUUGAUACUCUAUUGGUUGUUUCACUUGAUAUAUAGCAUUGAUACAAAGAAAAACAUAAUUUUCAAAAGAAAAAAUAAUAAUCGGGGCAAUCGAUUCUCUCCUGCAUGUUCUCGAUCUGGGAAAGAAAAGAAUCGGCACAAGAUUGAGCAACCGACGAUGUAAAUGCUUUGCAAUGCUUAAUUCGAUGGCGUUGCAGUUGCGGUUAGCUCCCUUUUUGUCUAAUAAGCAUUGUAAUUUGUUAGCUACGAAUUUCAGGAAUUGAAGCUAAUUAAGCCAGCCCAGGUGCACAAGGGGCAAAGAAGUUUCGUGCAUGGAACCUGGCUAGCCGGACCGGACCACAGCCAGGCAGGAAGGCAAGGCCUGCCGGUUAAUCUUGUGCGAUUCCUGACAACAUGAGCGAUAACGACCCGGAUAAUGCAUCCAACCCGCACCACCCA